UCCAGAACGGGAGGUAGNGACGAAAAAUAACAAUACGGGACUCUUUUGAGACCCCGUAAUUGGAAUGAGUACACUCUAAAUCCUUUAACGAGGAUCCAUUGGAGAGCAAGUCUGGUGCCAGCAGUCGCGGUAAUUCCAGCUCCAAUAGCGUAUAUUAAAGUUNGUUGCGGUUAAAAAGCUCGUAGUUGGAUCUCAGCUCUGGCCGGACGGUCCACCUACCGGUGGUUACUGUUCGCUGCCGAGCGUUACGCAGGCGCUGUCUGAUGAUCUUUACCGGUUGUCCGGCGGUGCCUACACGUUUACUUUGAAAAAAUUAGAGUGCUCAACGCAGGCGUGACGCCUGAAUAAUUGUGCAUGGAAUAAUGGAAUAGGACCUCGGUUCUAUUUUGUUGGUUUUCGGAACACGAGGUAAUGAUUAAGAGGGACAGACGGGGGCAUUCGUAUUGCGACGCUAGAGGUGAAAUUCUUGGACCGUCGCAAGACGAACUACUGCGAAAGCAUUUGCCAAGAAUGUUUCCAUUAAUCAAGAACGAAAGUUAGAGGUUCGAAGGCGAUCAGAUACCGCCCUAGUUCUAACCAUAAACGAUGCCAGCCAGCGAUCCGGCUGUGUUCCUCAAAUGACACGCCGGGCAGCUUCCGGGAACCAAAGCUUUGGGUCCGGGAA
rnacentral:rRNA from 1 species